AUGGAGGUCGAUCAGAAGAAGGCCUCCAAGCGGGGCGUGCCGAAGAAGGUCCGGACCAUGGCCAAGCUCGCCGUGCAGUCGCUCGAGACCUACUACGGCGACCGCGCGUACCGCUUCCUGUUUGACGCCGUGGCCGACUUCUUCGCCGCCCUGCUCGCCUCCGACAUGAAGCAGAUGGCCCCCGGCGGCAAGAAGAGGAAGAUCGGGCUCGCCGCCAAGUGGUGCCCCACGCCGGGCUCCUCCUUCGACCGCGCCACGCUGCUCUGCGAGGCCAUCGCCUGCCGCCUCUUCCCGCGCGACUCCGACCCCGAGUACGCCGAGCUCUCCGACGAGCACUACAGCUACCGCGUCCUCCGCCGCCUCCGCCGCGACGUCCUGGCGCCCAUCCGCAAGGCCCUGGAGCUCCCGGAGGUCUACAUGUGCGCGCAGCGGUGGGACGAAGUGCCCUACGCGCGCGUCGCCUCGGUGGCCAUGCGGCGCUACAAGGCCCUCUUCCAGAAGCACGACGAGGAGCGCUUCGCCAAGUACCUCGAGGACGUGGAGGCCGGCAAGGCCAAGAUCGCGGCGGGCGCCGUCCUGCCGCACGAGAUCGCCGCCGCGGCCUACCGCGGCGAGGAGGACGAGGUGGCGGAGCUGCAGUGGCGCCGCAUGGUGGACGACCUCCGCGCCAAGGGCUCGCUGCGCAACUGCAUCUCCAUCUGCGACGUGUCCGGGAGCAUGGAGGGCACCCCCAUGGAGGUGGCCAUCGCGCUGGGCGUGCUCACCUCGGAGCUCAGCGAGGAGCCGUGGGCGGGCAAGGUGAUCACGUUCCACACCAGGCCCUCCAUCCACGUGAUCAAGGGCGAGACGCUGCGGGACAAGAUGCGGUUCGUCGCCAAGCUCGAGUGGCACGGGAGCACCAACUUCCAGGGCGUGUUCGACCGCAUCCUCGCCACGGCCAGGGAGGCCCAGCUGCCGCCGGAGAAGAUGAUCAGAACCGUCUUCGUCUACAGCGACAUGGAGUUCGGCGAGGCGUGCGGGCGGGGCGUCUACAACGGCAUGCCCUACGGCGAGGGGUCGUGGGACACGGACUACGCCGCCAUCUGCCGCAAGUUCAGGGACGCCGGCUACGGCGACGCCGUGCCCCAGGUGGUGUUCUGGAACCUGCGCGACUCCAAGUCGACGCCCGUGACGUCCACCCAGCCCGGCGCCGCCAUGGUCAGCGGCUUCUCCAAGAACGUGCUCAAGAUCUUCCUGCAGAACGACGGCGUGGUCAACCCCGAGGCCAUCAUGACCCAGGCCAUCGCUGGCGACGAGUACCAGAAGCUUCAAAUCUACGAUUAG
rnacentral:rRNA from 1 species